rnacentral:tRNA from 1 species
AUUAGAGUAGUUUAUAUAAAAAUAUUAGUUUGUGGUACUAAAGAAAUAAGUGUUUAUCUCUGAUC